GGCGAACGCUGGCGGCGUGCCUAAUACAUGCAAGUCGAACGCAUUUUCUUUCACCGUAGCUUGCUACACCGAAAGAAAAUGAGUGGCGAACGGGUGAGUAACACGUGGGUAACCUGCCCAUCAGCGGGGGAUAACACUUGGAAACAGGUGCUAAUACCGCAUAAUUCCAUUUACCGCAUGGUAGAUGGGUGAAAGGCGCUUUUGCGUCACUGAUGGAUGGACCCGCGGUGCAUUAGCUAGUUGGUGGGGUAACGGCCUACCAAGGCUGCGAUGCAUAGCCGACCUGAGAGGGUGAUCGGCCACACUGGGACUGAGACACGGCCCAGACUCCUACGGGAGGCAGCAGUAGGGAAUCUUCGGCAAUGGACGCAAGUCUGACCGAGCAACGCCGCGUGAGUGAAGAAGGUUUUCGGAUCGUAAAACUCUGUUGUUAGAGAAGAACAAGGAUGAGAGUGGAAAGUUCAUCCCUUGACGGUAUCUAACCAGAAAGCCACGGCUAACUACGUG
rnacentral:rRNA from 1 species